CAUACUUUUUCUUGCAACUGUAUCUGUUAGUCCAUACGCACAGUUUUUAUGUGUGUGUUUGGAGGCCAUGGGUUACACAAUGUUGCUUUACAUAUUUACUACUAUUCUGCUACUCCAGUCUUUCUUUUUGAAGAAUUAAAACUUGUAAAAAAGGACUGUGGUCAUUUCACAUCAUUGGCCAUAGCAGACAAAAAUGUGUGCAC